CAGGGAGCCUUGAGAACAUUGCACUCAUCUGAUUGUUAGUGGUACUGGGACACAUCACACAUUUAGACAUAAUGAAGCGCUCUGAUACCAUCUCAGAUACGAGCAGCUCUGUGUCGUUGUGGAGACGCAUAAAGUGGUCCAGGUCCUUGAAAACAUGGUACUUGGAAGUCAUCUGAUUUCUGGAUUAAAUUGUAAGGAACCCAUGUUUUGCUGUAAAUGUGAUGUGGAAGAAAAAAAUUCAAAGGUAUCUUGCGGCUCAACUGAAACCAAACACAUCAACUAUGGAGAUAAUUCACCUCUUAAAACAGUGUCUUGACUCUGGCCCUUUCCAAGCCGUCUUCUGAGAAGAAAGGAAGUUUGCUUGUUCUCUGGGUUGCAGCCUCCGUCGCC
ensembl:lncRNA